CUCGCUACGUCUCACAUGGCGUACAUAUGUAAACACGCUGAUUGCAUAACCUCUGAAAAUUGAUUUUUGCUGUGCAACAAAUUUAUUUAAUUGCAAAAAUGUUUAUAAUUGUGGAAACGAUAGAAGAAGGGGAAGUAAAUUUAUGUGUCGUACCCGAAAGUUGGGAAAAGAACGGGAUUUUAUUUUGGCCGCCAGAACGAAAAGGAAUGAAUCUCCGAAAAAACGAUAGUAUUUUACCAGACAAUAAUUGGUCAAAACAAAAAUGUACGGUAAAAAAAAGAAAUUUUACUAUGUUUCAAGCCGCUGUUCAAGCGGAAAAAUAUUUAAGUCAGUUUAAUGAUACUGAGGAUGAAGAGAAUUUUUUUCUCCUGAAUUCUUCAAGACAAACACAACGUUUCCAGACUAAAGAUAAUUCUCAGACUGAUUUUAAUAAUUUAAUAAUGGAAAAUAACAAUAUUAUAAAUAAUAAUGUAAAACUGGCUAAAAAUGUUGAAAAUCCAGUCAAUAUUAUUCAAGUUAUUGACCCAACUUUGGAAAGUACUUCAAAAAAAUUAGGAAUUAUAGAAUCUACAAAUGCAAUAAUAAUUGAAAGUGAUGAAACUUCCACUUUACUUUUGAACAGUUUUCACGAAUGGUUGGACAAUAUUCAAAGCUCUGAUAUUUAUGUGAUGUUGUAUAAAAUAUUGUAGAAUAAAAUUUUAGUAUUUAUUUAGUCCAAGAACAAUUUGACACAAUAAAAUCAAACCUGGCAAGUUUUGAAAAUCGUAUUCUUCGAGAUUUAUCUGAGUUACAUAUUAAAUUUGACAAAUUAAUCGAUCUUUUGAUUAAAAAUCAAGUUACUACUGAGAGACAUGAAAAGGAUACAUCAAAAAGCGAAAUUCUUGAAAACGAUAUAAAACAAAUGAAACCACUAGCAACGGAAUCGAAUAUUAACAAUUUAGAAAAAAAGCUAUGUAAUCAGGAAUUUGAAUUAGCAUUUGUAAGUUUCUUUAUAAUCUAUAAUUUCAUAUAAUAUAACCUUAAUAUUUUAUGAAUGUCGAGACUUUCAAAAAACUGAAGUGACGAGUUGAUACGUAAAGUCUUUUAUAGUUAUAUAUGUAUACAUGAUCUAUGCUAAAGCGUGGAAGGCAUAUAUUUGCGAAUGAUAUUCUAUCUCUUUACUUCAGUUUGUAGGCAGUCUCAUCAAACAUGUCUAAUUUAUAUUUAUGCUUAUACAUCAAAUAGAUAAAAGUAAUGAGUAAAAUUGGAGGCACGACUGGUAAAGAAGAUGGGAAAAAAAUAGUGUACUUAUUGAUGGAUCGAUUAUUUGAAAAGCAAUUAUUAACUUUAUGCUCAUGGACUGGUUCUACCAAGAAAAAAGAAGAAAAAAUGAAAAAAAAUUGCUUUUUUAAAAUACAAUCGAAUAAUUAAAAUAUUUUUUAAAAUUUUACAUUUAGCCGAUUCAAAUUAUACGGUUGACGAUAUGAUUUUUCUGAAACGAAUUCUUAAACAGUGUGAGUCGAAGUAAACUGCUUGAAAAACGAUUGAG